rnacentral:tRNA from 1 species
UGGAGUGUAUUUCACUGGUCGAAUGUGUGCUUAAUAUGCACAAGGCCCAGGGUUCAAUUCCCAGCACCAA